AACGAACGCUGGCGGCAUGCCUAACACAUGCAAGUCGAACGAGACCUUCGGGUCUAGUGGCGCACGGGUGCGUAACGCGUGGGAACCUGCCUUUAGGUUCGGAAUAACUCAGAGAAAUUUGAGCUAAUACCGGAUAAUGUCUUCGGACCAAAGAUUUAUCGCCUUUAGAUGGGCCCGCGUUGGAUUAGCUAGUUGGUGGGGUAAAGGCCUACCAAGGCGACGAUCCAUAGCUGGUCUGAGAGGAUGAUCAGCCACACUGGGACUGAGACACGGCCCAGACUCCUACGGGAGGCAGCAGUGGGGAAUAUUGGACAAUGGGCGAAAGCCUGAUCCAGCAAUGCCGCGUGAGUGAUGAAGGCCUUAGGGUUGUAAAGCUCUUUUACCCGAGAUGAUAAUGACAGUAUCGGGAGAAUAAGCUCCGGCUAACUCCGUGCCAGCAGCCGCGGU
rnacentral:rRNA from 1 species